AUUGAACGCUGGCGGCAUGCUUUACACAUGCAAGUCGAACGGUAACAGGCCGCAAGGUGCUGACGAGUGGCGAACGGGUGAGUAGUGCAUCGGAACGUGCCCAGUCGUGGGGGAUAACGCAGCGAAAGCUGCGCUAAUACCGCAUACGAUCUAUGGAUGAAAGCGGGGGACCGUAAGGCCUCGCGCGAUUGGAGCGGCCGAUGUCAGAUUAGGUAGUUGGUGGGGUAAAGGCUCACCAAGCCGACGAUCUGUAGCUGGUCUGAGAGGACGACCAGCCACACUGGGACUGAGACACGGCCCAGACUCCUACGGGAGGCAGCAGUGGGGAAUUUUGGACAAUGGGCGCAAGCCUGAUCCAGCAAUGCCGCGUGCAGGAAGAAGGCCUUCGGGUUGUAAGCUGCUUUUGUACGGAACGAAAAGGCUCUGGUUAAUACCUGGGGCUCAUGACGGUACCGUAAGAAUAAGCACCGGCUAACUACGUGCCAGCCGCCGCAGUAAAAC
rnacentral:rRNA from 1 species